UAUGUUGGAGAUAGUAUAAAUUCAGACAAUAUAAAUUAAGAUUACAGUAGUACCACUUUUCUAUUUUUGUACUGCAUGUGAAGUUCAAGGUAAUUAGAAUUCAUCCUAGAACAUUAGAAUCCUUGAGGUAUGCUUGCUUCUAGAUUGUCGAAAACGAGUCUCUGUAAAUAUUGUAUGUGGUAAUUUUUUUAAAUAAGAAAUAUAUAGUUCCUUUAGCGUUUCUCGUAUGGUGAAAUAUAAUGGCAGAGAACUCAAGUUUGGAAUAUACCUGAUUAUGGAGUCUGUUGACAAGAUUCACAAAUGAUGCUGACUUCAUUGAUAUUGCCAUUCUCUUGGAUAAGAGCACGACGCCAUUCUCCUUGAGAAACGCACUUCGACCAUUUUCAUUCGAAGACUUAUUCUCCUGGAUGUUCAAGAUAUACUUUUCAAAAGAUAUCUAGGAUAUAAUAGUUAAGGACCUGGUCCUACUCAAUGCUAAUUCUUCAUUUGAAAGGAAAUUGAAGACAAAAACCAAAACCUCCGAGAAGGUAUUGGUAACUUGAAUGCAAGGAGAAUUUUUAAGCUACCCAAUAAAUGAAGUAAAUUAUGUGAGCAAACGAAAGUAGGAACGAUCUCGUAACCAUCCAAGUAAAAGUCAAGAUAGUUAUCUUUAGUUGAAAAGAAUGUCCAGAAACUAAAUAGUUAAAGUAGAAUAAGUAAAUUAAUCGUUAAAGUAUAAUAAGUAAAUUAAUCGUUAAAGUAAGAUAAGCUAUGUUAACAGAAGCUUUAAGAAGAGACCGACUCUUAUGAAAUGAACCAUGCAAACCAAACUUAAAAUCGGAUGUUUCUUUCAGAUAAUUCCUGAAGCUAGAUAAGACGUCACUUUCUGGCUGCAUCGACGUCUCUCUUGGCGAUUACUAAAGAAUUAUCUGCAAGUCUGGAAGUUUUGCAACUGCUUAUCUGCAUACGUCAUGAGAUCUUAGCUUAUGCGGGGAUUACAAGGUGUUAAGAUACAAUGGAUCUUUCUAAACACGGCCAAGAUUUUUCGUGGACCUUCAUCGACCUCUUCCACUCUUUUGGCAAUAGACAUGUGAAGCAUAGCUUGAUAACGACAGAAUCAUAUGUAUCGAAUUUACAUAUAAGCUACAGAAGUUGUAGUAUGGGUAUUUCACAUACUUGGAGGUUCCAAAACAUUUAUUCAAGCAAAGAAGUCCUAAAGAAAUUCAUCAAAUCCAAAUUGCCAUUGGUCAAGUGGGGAACAAGACAAUAUGAAUAUGUAAGAAAUAAUUGUUUUAAUUAUACAAAUGAGUGUAAAAUGUGUCCAAAGUUCGAGUUGUGAUACUUUCUCUUUGGUCAAUCUUUUUAUGAAACUUUCCAAGCAAAUUAAGAUUUAAAAAAUAUUUAUUGCCUCUAUUUGAAUAAUGGCUGAUAUUGAAUGUUCCAUUUUUCCUAAGUUUCUUGCAAUAUAACUUUUGCGUAAAUAAUUCAGAACGCUUUUUUCGAAGCCAACGCUUUCUUUGUGUUAUCCAAAAAUUCAAAAUAUGUUGGCAUUUCAAGGAACAUACCGUCUCAAAAUUGUAUUCAAAAUUUUUGGUUGAAAGUGAAACAUAACUUUUGACUAACAUAGCUUAACUGAAGUGCAUAUUAAGCUUCUGGGGAAUAUUUUUUCUUUCAGGAAACUUUGAAGAAGAAAUACAUCAUUGAAGUAUCGAGUUUUGAAGAAAAAUGCCCUUUUGUAAUUUGGCGAAUCUAAAUUUUGA